rnacentral:rRNA from 1 species
UUGUCGAUCGCCCGGACGACCCGCGAACCUGUUCACGCACGCCGGGCGGCGGCGAGGGGCCGAGACCCCCCGUCGCCGCCCCCCCGGUGCCGGCGGCGCGCCCCGCGGCCCUCCCUCCCGGGGGGGCGGCGGGCGCGCCGGCGGCCCCGGCAACGAACCCCGGCGCGGGACGCGCCAAGGAGAACCCCAACGAGAUGGCACGCCCCCGGCGCCCGUUCGCGGGCGGCGCGGGGCGGCGGCCUCUUUCGCGAACCGAAACGACUCUCGGCAACGGAUAUCUCGGCUCUCGCAUCGAUGAAGAACGUAGCGAAAUGCGAUACUUGGUGUGAAUUGCAGAAUCCCGUGAACCAUCGAGUCUUUGAACGCAAGUUGCGCCCGAAGCCGUCAGGCCGAGGGCACGUCUGCCUGGGCGUCUCGCAACGCGUCGCCCCCCGACCCCCGCUCGCGCGGGCGCCGGGGGGCGGACACUGGCCCCCCGCGAGCGGCGUCUCGCGGCCGGUCUAAAAACCGAGUCGCCGGCGACGGACGGCACGGCGAGCGGUGGAAGCACGACGCGCGCCCCUGACAGGGCGCGCCCUGCGCCGUGCCGCGCCCGUCGCCGCGGGCGGUCUCGAGCGACCCUCAAGAGCAUCGACCGCGACCCCAGGUCAGGCGGGAUCACCCGCUGAGUUUAAGCAUA